rnacentral:rRNA from 1 species
GACGAACGCUGGCGGCGUGCUUAAUACAUGCAAGUCGAACGGAAAGGCCCUGCGUUUGUGGGGUGCUCGAUUGGCGCGCGGGUGAGUAACACGCGAGUAACCUGUCCCUGACUUUGGGAUAACUUCACGAAACUGGGGCUCAUAUCGGAGAGGAGCUCUUGCUGCAUGGUGGGGGUUGGUGAGUGUCGGCGGUGGGGGAUGGACUCGCGGCUUAUCGGCUUGUUUGUGGGGUAGUUGCUUACCAAGGCUUUGACGGGUAGCCGGCCUGAGAGGGGUGACGGCCUCAUUGGGACUGCGAUACGGACCAGACUGCUACCGGAGGCAGUAGUGGGGAGUAUUGCACAACGGGGGGGAGCGUGAGACAGAAGCGCCCGGAGCGGGAUGCCGGCCUUCGGGUUAUAAACAGCUUUCGCAUGUGACGAAGCGUGAGUGACGGUAAUGGGUAAAGAAGCACCGGCUAACUACGUG